GAUAAACGCUGGCGGCGUGCCUAACACAUGCAAGUCGAACGCCCUUUUGCGCAAGUGAGAGGGAGUGGCGGACGGGUGAGUACCACGUGGGUACCUACCUUGAGGUGAGGAAUACCACCGAGAAAUCGGUGACAAGACCGCAUACGCUUGGCAACAAGCAAAGUCUCGCAAGAGACGCCACAAGAUGGGCCUGCGCCUGAUUAGCUAGUUGGUGAGGUAAUGGCNCACCAAGGCGACGAUCAGUAGCUGGUCUGAGAGGAUGAUCAGCCACACUGGGAUUGAGAACGGCCCAGACUCCUACGGGGGG
rnacentral:rRNA from 1 species